AUCACCAUCACUGCUGCCUCAGCUCCCCCUCUGUGAACACCUUCCCCCACAUCUGAUCCAAAUCUCCCUAUCACUGGGAUAGGCUUCCCAGGGAGGUGGUUGAGUCACCAUCCCUGGAUGUGUUUAAGAGCCGUUUGGAUGUGGUGCUCGGAGAUAUGAUUUAGCGGAGGGUUGUUAGAGUUAGGGGACUAUGGUUAGGCUGCGCUUGGACCUGAUGAUCUCUGAGGUCCUUUCCAACCUGAGUAAUUCUAUGAUUGUAUGAUUCUUUCUCCAUAGCAGAGGUGCUGCAGCCUCUGAGCGAAGCACCUGGAGAAAACCGUUUCCUCUUCUCAUUUGGGGUCGAUGUAGGGCAUGCAAGAGGCAAAUCAUAGAAUCAUAGAAUCGCUAAGGUUGGAAAAGACCCACAGGACCAUCCAGUCCAACCAUCCGCCCUUCACCAAUGGUUCUCGCUAAACCACGUCCCUCAACACAACAUCCAAACGCUCUUUG
rnacentral:lncRNA from 1 species